rnacentral:rRNA from 1 species
AGUCGUAACAAGGUUUCCGUAGGUGAACCUGCGGAAGGAUCAUUAAUGAAUUUUAGGACGUUCUUUUUAGAAGUCCGACCCUUUCAUUUUCUUACACCGUGCACACACUUCUUUUUUACACACACUUUUAACACCUUAGUAUAAGAAUGUAAUAGUCUCUUAAUUGAGCAUAAAUAAAAACAAAACUUUCAGCAACGGAUCUCUUGGCUCUCGCAUCGAUGAAGAACGCAGCGAAUUGCGAUAAGUAAUGUGAAUUGCAGAAUUCAGUGAAUCAUCGAAUCUUUGAACGCACCUUGCACUCUUUGGUAUUCCGAAGAGUAUGUCUGUUUGAGUGUCAUGAAACUCUCAACCCCCCUAUUUUGUAAUGAGAUGGGCGUGGGCUUGGAUUAUGGUUGUCUGUUGGCGUAAUUGCCGGCUCAACUGAAAUACACGAGCAACCCUACUGAAAUAAACGGUUUGACUUGGCGUAAUAAUUAUUUCGCUGAGGACGUUUUCUUCAACUAUAAGAGGUGCUUCUAAUUCGCUUCUAAUAGCAUUUAAGCUUUAGACCUCAAAUCAGUCAGGACUACCCGCUGAACUUAAGCAUAUCAAUAAAAGUCG